rnacentral:rRNA from 1 species
GAACGCGCAGCGAGAGGUGCUUGCACCUUUCAAGCGAGUGGCGAACGGGUGAGUAACACGUGGAUAACCUGCCUCAAGGCUGGGGAUAACAUUUGGAAACAGAUGCUAAUACCGAAUAAAACUUAGUAUCGCAUGAUAUCAAGUUAAAAGGCGCUACGGCGUCACCUAGAGAUGGAUCCGCGGUGCAUUAGUUAGUUGGUGGGGUAAAGGCUUACCAAGACGAUGAUGCAUAGCCGAGUUGAGAGACUGAUCGGCCACAUUGGGACUGAGACACGGCCCAAACUCCUACGGGAGGCUGCAGUAGGGAAUCUUCCACAAUGGGCGCAAGCCUGAUGGAGCAACGCCGCGUGUGUGAUGAAGGCUUUCGGGUCGUAAAGCACUGUUGUAUGGGAAGAAAUGCUAAAAUAGGGAAUGAUUUUAGUUUGACGGUACCAUACCAGAAAGGGACGGCUAAAUACGUGCCAGCAGCCGCGGUAAUACGUAUGUCCCGAGCGUUAUCCGGAUUUAUUGGGCGUAAAGCGAGCGCAGACGGUUGAUUAAGUCUGAUGUGAAAGCCCGGAGCUCAACUCCGGAAUGGCAUUGGAAACUGGUUAACUUGAGUGUUGUAGAGGUAAGUGGAACUCCAUGUGUAGCGGUGGAAUGCGUAGAUAUAUGGAAGAACACCAGUGGCGAAGGCGGCUUACUGGACAACAACUGACGUUGAGGCUCGAAAGUGUGGGUAGCAAACAGGAUUAGAUACCCUGGUAGUCCACACCGUAAACGAUGAAUACUAGGUGUUAGGAGGUUUCCGCCUCUUAGUGCCGAAGCUAACGCAUUAAGUAUUCCGCCUGGGGAGUACGACCGCAAGGUUGAAACUCAAAGGAAUUGACGGGGACCCGCACAAGCGGUGGAGCAUGUGGUUUAAUUCGAAGCAACGCGAAGAACCUUACCAGGUCUUGACAUCCUUUGAAGCUUUAGAAGAUAGAAGUGUUCUCUUCGGAGACAAGUGACAGGUGGUGCAUGGUCGUCGUCAGCUCGUGUCGUGAGAAGUUUGGGUUAAGUCCCGCACGAGCGCACCCUUAUUGUUAUUGCCAGCAUUCAUUGGGCCUCUACGAGAAUGCCGUGACAAACCGGAGGAAGGGGGGGAGAACUCCAAUAUCUGCCCCUUUGACUGGGUACACCGGCUACAAGGGGUAACAACAAUGCCACCCGCGAAGG